GAUCAAGCGCAUAAGGGCUUCUGACGGAUGCCUUGGCAUUGAGAGGCGAUGAAGGACGUGGCACGCUGCGAUAAGAGCCGGGGAGGCGCGAGCACCCUUUGAUCCGGCUAUCUCCGAAUGGGGAAACCCACCUUAAUGACCAUUCCACUUUGCUUCAGCUUCGGCUGGGGCGGUAGUGGUGUGGUUGUGACAGGUAUAAUGGGCUGAAUACAUAGGCUCCAUUAAGCAAACCCGGGGAACUGAAACAUCUCAGUACCCGGAGGAAAGGACAUCAACCGAGACUCCCGUAGUAGUGGCGAGCGAACCGGGACCAGGCCAGUGCUGUCGUGACAUAAAGCUGAACGACUUGGAAAGGUCGGCCAUAGUGGGUGAUAGCCCCGUAAGCGUCAAAUAGCGACAGACUCGAGUAGGGCGGGACACGUGAAAUCCUGUCUGAACAUGGGGGGACCACCCUCCAAGCCUAAGUACUCCUCAAUGACCGAUAGCGAACAAGUACCGUGAGGGAAAGGUGAAAAGCACCCCGACAAGGGGAGUGAAACAGAUCCUGAAAUCGGAAGCCUACAAGCAGUCGGAGCCACCGCGCGUGGUGACGGCGUACCUUUUGUAUAAUGGGUCAGCGACUUCAUGUGCCGUGCAAGCUUAAGCCGUUAGGUGUAGGCGCAGCGAAAGCGAGUCUGAAUAGGGCGAAUAAGUACGUCGCAUGACGACCCGAAACCAGGUGAUCUAUCCAUGAGCAGGUUGAAGGUAAGGUAACACUUACUGGAGGACCGAACCGGUGAAUGUUGAAAAAUUCUCGGAUGACUUGUGGAUAGGGGUGAAAGGCCAAUCAAACCUGGACAUAGCUGGUUCUCCGCGAAAACUAUUUAGGUAGUGCCUCAGACGGACUCCUCGGGGGGUAGAGCACUGAAUGGAUGCGGGGGGAGCGAUCUCUACCAAUUCUAAUCAAACUCCGAAUACCCGAGAGAGAUAUCUGGGAGACACACGGCGGGUGCUAACGUCCGUCGUGAAAAGGGAAACAACCCUAACCAUCAUCUAAGGCCCCCAAGUUCUGGCUAAGUGGGAAACGAUGUGGGUUUGCUUUGACAACCAGGAUGUUGGCUUAGAAGCAGCCAUCAUUUAAAGAAAGCGUAACAGCUCACUGGUCAAGCGAACCUGCGCGGAAAAUGUAACGGGGCUCAAGCCAGACGCCGAAGGUAUGGGUUUGCUCUUUGAGCAAGCGGUAGCGGAGCGUUCCGUAAGCCGGUGAAGGUGAGGCGCGAGCCUUGCUGGAGGUAUCGGAAGUGAGAAUGCUGACAUGAGUAGCGAUAAAGAGUGUGAGAGACACUCUCGCCGAAAGCCCAAGGGUUCCUGCGUAAAGCUAAUCUGCGCAGGGUUAGUCGGCCCCUAAGGCGAGGCCGAAAGGCGUAGUCGAUGGGAAUCAGGUGAAUAUUCCUGAACCAGUUGGAAGUGACGGAUCUGGUAAAUUGUCUAGGCUUAUUGGAUUGCUCUGGGCAGUGAACAGGUCCCUGGAAAUAACUCCAACGGAGACCGUACCCGAAACCGACACAGGUGGGCAGGUAGAGUAUACCAAGGCGCUUGAGAGAACUAUGCUGAAGGAACUCGGCAAAUUGCACGCGUAACUUCGGGAUAAGCGUGACUCUUAUUUGGGCAACCAGAUAAGAGUGGCACAGGCCAGGGGGUAGCGACUGUUUAUCAAAAACACAGGGCUCUGCGAAGCCGCAAGGCGACGUAUAGGGUCUGACGCCUGCCCGGUGCCGGAAGGUUAAAAGGAGUGGUGCAAGCUGCGAAUUGAAGCCCCGGUAAACGGCGGCCGUAACUAUAACGGUCCUAAGGUAGCGAAAUUCCUUGUCGGGUAAGUUCCG
rnacentral:rRNA from 1 species